CAGUGGUUGGCUUUCUGCCCUCAGAGCGUUUCGCGGGCGUGAAGGGCAAGGUUUCCCGCCUCCCAUCCCCGCUCUUUUGACAGACUGAGGAGAGCUUCGAACAAAGUACCAAGGGAGACUUGUACAAGAGGCUAAACGCAGGUGGCCUUCUAGAGGAGGUGACAGUAGUGCUAGGGCAUGCAGGGUGUGAGUAGGUAAGGCCGUCGGGGAGUGCGUCCCUGAGGAGGGGAUGCAGAGCUGAAGCUGAGAAGACCGGGCCACUUGGAGGUGUGAAGGAGGAGAGCUCCAGGCAGCAACACGCGUGGUGGUUUUGAGGAGCAGAAUGAAUGUCAGGGGUGGCUGCAGCGGCCAAGCAAAGGUGUGCUGCUGCUGGUCUUUGACUGGAGGGGAUUGUCAGAAAUGGAGAAUCCACAGAGAUUCAGCUGAAGCCCUCACUACUUUGAACUGGGACACUCAACUCUAGUAAUAAUGUGCACAUCUGAGACCCUUUGUGUUUCUAACUGUUUGAGGUGCCAUCCUGCCCAUGGCUGGGAGUCUCCUAAUGAACAAAGUCUUGGCAAUGGUGAAGAGCUGGGUAGUAACUAAAGUCCCGAGGCUGACUCCAUCUGCCCUGGGCUAAGAGGGAGACCGAGAAAGAGUGAGCAUCGUCUGACAGCCUGGAGCUGGCCUGGCACUGUCAUCUGGGCUUUGGUGUUGUUAGGAGCAGGUACGACAUGACAACUAGACUGUGGUUUUCUCUUGAUGAACAUAAACAGUUUCACAAAACACCAACACAGCAAGACAAGGCCACCACUGUGAUGGAUCAAGACAAAAAACGAGACCAUUAUCCAAACAGAAAUGACCAAAUAUCUCCAUUCUGGCUAAUAUGAUAAUUAUGCUCCUUUAUCAAUUAUAGCUUUAGUUUUGCUCCUUUCUUCCCA